UGAGGUACACCAGUUACAGGAAGCUGCAGCCAGCAUGUUCGUUUGUUAAUAGUAAAUGUUUACGAGUUUUUCGUGAAAUACUUUAAGAAUAUAUAAAGCACCAUGGCCAAUCCAAAUUUGACGGAUAUGACAGAGGAAGAUGCGGCUGACCUACAGUUUCCAAAAGACUGCUCAUCGAGUAGAACAGAAACAAUCGAGAACGAUGUAGAUCUCGACGUGACAGUCGUGAAGGAUGAAAUCAUUACUUCAGACCCAUCAUGCCGUGUAUGCAAAUCUAUUUUGACGGAGCCAUACAUUCGUUGCGCCGUGUGUAAUAACACAGAAUUGUGUCCCUCUUGUUUCUCCACUGGAUCCGAAAUCGAUGAUCACAGAAACGAUCACGACUAUAUUAUAAUAAAGAACGAAUUCCCUUUGAUUCACGGAAGUGGUUGGACGGCAAAGCAAGAAUUAGAAUUUCUAGAUGUCUUACAGGAAUGUGGUUUUGGUAAUUGGGUAGAUAUGUCGAAAAGAAUGCAAGGGAAGUCGGCGGAGGAAUGUAAAAAUCAUUAUCUUCAGAAUUAUAUCGAUAACCAAGCUUUCCCCGGAUUGCCGAUAAUCAAAGAAACGAAAGCGAGUUUGUUCGGUUGCGAGUCUGCACCUUAUUUAUAUAAAUUACAAGAUUUGGAAGAACCACCGCGGUUCGCGCCCAAUACACUUAAUUGUAAGCUUUUGGCCGGAUAUAAUCCGGCGAGAUCAGACUUCGAAAUAAAUUUCGAUAACCACGCGGAAUUGUUAAUUUCUGAUUUGAAUUACGACGAGUUUGAUUCAAGCGAUGAUAAUUAUCGGCUAGGGAGAUCAUUGCAAAUAGCUAUAGUGCAAGCGUAUAACAAUCGAUUAAAAGAACGCAUGAGAAGAAGAAAAAUCAUACGCGACCAUGGUCUAAUAGCUUUUAGAAGAACUAUAUCGUGGAUCCAAAGAUACGAAUUUACGAUAACCAGGACACUUGCCGAGAGAUUAUUAAUUUUCAUGCAAUUGUUGGGAGGUAUAGAGUUUGACUAUUUUAUGGAAGGAUUACAUCGUACCGGGGAACUUAAAAAUUAUUUGAAUAAAUUGUUCGAGUUUCGCAGUAAUGGUUUAAAGCACUUUCACAGUGUUGUAAUGUUUCAAAAGUUGAGUAAACUUAGACAAGAGAAUGAGAGGGAAAGAAAGCAAUACUUGAAUAAUCCCGAAUACAGUUGGAAGUCUAUAUUGCCUGGUUGCAAUAUUAAUGCUAAUACUUCCGUGUCAACUACAAUCUCGCAACGAAAAACGGCUCCGCCCCUUAUUAUUAAAGGUCUCCCGGGGUACGAGAAACUUACCUCGGCUGAAAAAGAACUUUGUUCGGUUACGCGCAUAGUACCUGCUAAUUACCUCGAUUUUAAGCAACUUCUGAUAGGGGAGAAUAAAAAGAAUGGUUAUCUAAGGUUGGCGCAAGCCAGGGUUUUGCUAAAAAUUGACGUUAAUAAAACGCGUAAAAUAUAUGAUUUCCUCACAGAAAAAGGAUAUAUAAAUAAACCAAAUCAAUGACGUAUACAUCGAUAAUAUAACAGUUGACAUUUGUAUAAAAUCUUUGUAUUUUAUAAGUACUGCCGGAAUUGUGAUAUUACGUAUUAAGACUUAUUUCUAAAAUUCUUAAGCAGGUUUGAGAAUUGAGAAAAUCGACUGAAAAUAAAAAUUUGAAAAUGCAGAGACCUUGUUAAUCUCUGAGGUAUCUAUGUUAUUGGAGCAUAGAAAAGCGCAAAAUGAGUCCGCGGAAGAGGAACAAGAAUUCUCUGAAGUUUUCAUGAAGAGUUUGACGUACACAAAUCGAUUCC